rnacentral:rRNA from 1 species
CAAUAGCGUAUACUAAUGUUGUUGCAGUUAAAAAGCUCGUAGUUGAACUUCUGGUAGGAGUGUCCCGGCCUUUUUGUUUUUACAAGUUGUAUGCUGUGUGACAUCUCUGGCCAUCCUUCUUCUUUGUUUAAAGAAGAUCUUUCACUGUAAAAAAAUUAGGGUGUUCAAAGCAAAAGUUUCUUUGGAAUAUAUUAGUAUGGGAUGAUAAGAUAGGCUCUAGAUGCUAUUUUGUUGGUUUGCACAUUUAGAGAAUGAUUAACAGGGACAGUUGGGGGUAUUCGUAUUUACAUGUCAGAGGUGAAAUUCUUGGAUUUUGGAAAGACGAACUACUGCGAAAGCAUUUACCAAGGAUGUUUUCAUUAA